AAUUUUAAAAGCGCCUGAGCUAUAUUAGCUGACGAGGACAGGGUUAAUCGAUUUUCGGCGGAUUCCCUGCGGUAAUGUCUACCGUAAUUUAUCUUACAAAACUUUAAAGUAAUUUAAAGCACAAAAAGAUA
rnacentral:ncRNA from 1 species